AAUGUAAACAGAAAACCGAGUUCGAAAAAUCUUAACAAUAAUAUUACUAUUAUAUUGUGGAAACUAGUAAAGUAAAAAUAAAAUGGAAAAUGUAAAUAAAAAAGUAUAAAUAUUAAUAUCUUCCGUUUGAACGGAAAUUUAGGUUAGAUGUAUUGGUGCAACAUGUCGAAGCAACAAAUCUAAAGUUAGAUAUUAAUUCCAUUAAUUUGAAAUCAGUUAUAGCGAUGGUUGAUCGUAGAAUAUUUUAUUUAAUUGAAGGAAUCUUUGGUUGAAGUUAAAUCAUAUUCCCGCGUAUCGACAUGACGCAGAGUAUUGCAAUUCUUUCUGUGAUUCCUAGGUUAUCUUACCAUCUUCGAAUUCAACUUCCAAAUUUAACAAUAUUUGAUGUUUUGUCAGGUAAGUUACCAUCUGUAAAACGGGCACUAACAACAUGGGCUGGUAUCAAAUCACUAGCUUCAAAUCUGAGAGAUAAAAAGAUAAAAAUUAUGCAGUUGCACGUUUCUUAGACAAAAGUCUAGCUUCAGCUAUGUCCGAGUAUGUAAUUACACAUAUCUUUAUUUUUGAAUGUGAUCAGAGACAGCAAUUAUCAAAAUCAAAAAGAUGAAGAGUGAAUAACAGAUGGGAAAAUUUCUGAUCACAAACUUAUUUGUGAUUUGUUUGGAGUAUUCUACGUUUAGGAAAUAUUGAGAAGACAA
rnacentral:misc_RNA from 1 species